rnacentral:rRNA from 1 species
AUUGGACGCUGGCGGCAGGCCUAACACAUGCAAGUCGAACGGUAACAGGAAGAAGCUUGCUUCUUUGCUGACGAGUGGCGGACGGGUGAGUAAUGUCUGGGAAACUGCCUGAUGGAGGGGGAUAACUACUGGAAACGGUAGCUAAUACCGCAUAACGUCGCAAGACCAAAGAGGGGGACCUUCGGGCCUCUUGCCAUCGGAUGUGCCCAGAUGGGAUUAGCUAGUAGGUGGGGUAACGGCUCACCUAGGCGACGAUCCCUAGCUGGUCUGAGAGGAUGACCAGCCACACUGGAACUGAGACACGGUCCAGACUCCUACGGGAGGCAGCAGUGGGGAAUAUUGCACAAUGGGCGCAAGCCUGAUGCAGCCAUGCCGCGUGUAUGAAGAAGGCCUUCGGGUUGUAAAGUACUUUCAGCGGGGAGGAAGGGAGUAAAGUUAAUACCUUUGCUCAUUGACGUUACCCGCAGAAGAAGCACCGGCUAACUCCGUG